UCUGGGAAACUGCCUGAUGGAGGGGGAUAACUACUGGAAACGGUAGCUAAUACCGCAUAACGUCGCAAGACCAAAGAGGGGGACCUUCGGGCCUCUUGCCAUCGGAUGUGCCCAGAUGGGAUUAGCUAGUAGGUGGGGUAACGGCUCACCUAGGCGACGAUCCCUAGCUGGUCUGAGAGGAUGACCAGCCACACUGGAACUGAGACACGGUCCAGACUCCUACGGGAGGCAGCAGUGGGGAAUAUUGCACAAUGGGCGCAAGCCUGAUGCAGCCAUGCCGCGUGUAUGAAGAAGGCCUUCGGGUUGUAAAGUACUUUCAGCGGGGAGGAAGGGAGUAAAGUUAAUACCUUUGCUCAUUGACGUUACCCGCAGAAGAAGCACCGGCUAACUCCGUGCCAGCAGCCGCGGUAAUACGGAGGGUGCAAGCGUUAAUCGGAAUUACUGGGCGUAAAGCGCACGCAGGCGGUUUGUUAAGUCAGAUGUGAAAUCCCCGGGCUCAACCUGGGAACUGCAUCUGAUACUGGCAAGCUUGAGUCUCGUAGAGGGGGGUAGAAUUCCAGGUGUAGCGGUGAAAUGCGUAGAGAUCUGGAGGAAUACCGGUGGCGAAGGCGGCCCCCUGGACGAAAACUGACGCUCAGGUGCGAAAGCGUGGGGAGCAAACAGGGAUUAGAUACCCUGGUAGUCCACGCCGUAAACGAUGUCGACUUGGAGGUUGUGCCCUUGAGGCGUGGCUUCCGGAGCUAACGCGUUAAGUCGACCGCCUGGGGAGUACGGCCGCAAGGUUAAAACUCAAAUGAAUUGACGGGGGCCCGCACAAGCGGUGGAGCAUGUGGUUUAAUUCGAUGCAACGCGAAGAACCUUACCUGGUCUUGACAUCCACAGAACCUUGUAGAGAUACGAGGGUGCCUUCGGGAACUGUGAGACAGGUGCUGCAUGGCUGUCGUCAGCUCGUGUUGUGAAAUGUUGGGUUAAGUCCCGCAACGAGCGCAACCCUUAUCCUUUGUUGCCAGCGGUCCGGCCGGGAACUCAAAGGAGACUGCCAGUGAUAAACUGGAGGAAGGUGGGGAUGACGUCAAGUCAUCAUGGCCCUUACGACCAGGGCUACACACGUGCUACAAUGGCGCAUACAAAGAGAAGCGACCUCGCGAGAGCAAGCGGACCUCAUAAAGUGCGUCGUAGUCCGGAUUGGAGUCUGCAACUCGACUCCAUGAAGUCGGAAUCGCUAGUAAUCGUGGAUCAGAAUGUCACGGUGAAUACGUUCCCGGGCCUUGUACACACCGCCCGUCACACCAUGGGAGUGGGUUGCAAAAGAAGUA
rnacentral:rRNA from 1 species